rnacentral:rRNA from 1 species
GGGUCAGUAGGUUGGUCGUGCCACCGGUACGUACUGGUCUCACUGAUUCCUCCUUCCUGAAGAACCGUAAUCCCAUUAAUUUGGUGUUGCGGGGAAACAGGACUGUUACUUUGAAAAAAUUAGAGUGUUUAAAGCAAGCCAACGCUUGAAUACAUUAGCAUGGAAUAAUGAAAUAGGACGAUCGAUCCUAUUUUGUUGGUUUCUAGGAUUGACGUA